rnacentral:rRNA from 1 species
UUAAAUUGAAGAGUUUGAUCAUGGCUCAGAUUGAACGCUGGCGGCAGGCCUAACACAUGCAAGUCGAACGGUAACAGGAAGCAGCUUGCUGCUUCGCUGACGAGUGGCGGACGGGUGAGUAAUGUCUGGGAAACUGCCUGAUGGAGGGGGAUAACUACUGGAAACGGUAGCUAAUACCGCAUAACGUCGCAAGACCAAAGAGGGGGACCUUCGGGCCUCUUGCCAUCGGAUGUGCCCAGAUGGGAUUAGCUAGUAGGUGGGGUAACGGCUCACCUAGGCGACGAUCCCUAGCUGGUCUGAGAGGAUGACCAGCCACACUGGAACUGAGACACGGUCCAGACUCCUACGGGAGGCAGCAGUGGGGAAUAUUGCACAAUGGGCGCAAGCCUGAUGCAGCCAUGCCGCGUGUAUGAAGAAGGCCUUCGGGUUGUAAAGUACUUUCAGCGGGGAGGAAGGGAGUAAAGUUAAUACCUUUGCUCAUUGACGUUACCCGCAGAAGAAGCACCGGCUAACUCCGUGCCAGCAGCCGCGGUAAUACGGAGGGUGCAAGCGUUAAUCGGAAUUACUGGGCGUAAAGCGCACGCAGGCGGUUUGUUAAGUCAGAUGUGAAAUCCCCAGGCUCAACCUGGGAACUGCAUCUGAUACUGGCAAGCUUGAGUCUCGUAGAGGGGGGUAGAAUUCCAGGUGUAGCGGUGAAAUGCGUAGAGAUCUGGAGGAAUACCGGUGGCGAAGGCGGCCCCCUGGACGAAGACUGACGCUCAGGUGCGAAAGCGUGGGGAGCAAACAGGAUUAGAUACCCUGGUAGUCCACGCCGUAAACGAUGUCGACUUGGAGGUUGUGCCCUUGAGGCGUGGCUUCCGGAGCUAACGCGUUAAGUCGACCGCCUGGGGAGUACGGCCGCAAGGUUAAAACUCAAAUGAAUUGACGGGGGCCCGCACAAGCGGUGGAGCAUGUGGUUUAAUUCGAUGCAACGCGAAGAACCUUACCUGGUCUUGACAUCCACGGAAGUUUUCAGAGAUGAGAAUGUGCCUUCGGGAACCGUGAGACAGGUGCUGCAUGGCUGUCGUCAGCUCGUGUUGUGAAAUGUUGGGUUAAGUCCCGCAACGAGCGCAACCCUUAUCCUUUGUUGCCAGCGGUCCGGCCGGGAACUCAAAGGAGACUGCCAGUGAUAAACUGGAGGAAGGUGGGGAUGACGUCAAGUCAUCAUGGCCCUUACGACCAGGGCUACACACGUGCUACAAUGGCGCAUACAAAGAGAAGCGACCUCGCGAGAGCAAGCGGACCUCAUAAAGUGCGUCGUAGUCCGGAUUGGAGUCUGCAACUCGACUCCAUGAAGUCGGAAUCGCUAGUAAUCGUGGAUCAGAAUGCCACGGUGAAUACGUUCCCGGGCCUUGUACACACCGCCCGUCACACCAUGGGAGUGGGUUGCAAAAGAAGUAGGUAGCUUAACCUUCGGGAGGGCGCUUACCACUUUGUGAUUCAUGACUGGGGUGAAGUCGUAACAAGGUAACCGUAGGGGAACCUGCGGUUGGAUCACCUCCUUACCUUAAAGAAGC